CCCCCGUUUUCCUCUAUUUCCUCCUUCUGACCUCCUUUCCCACCUCCAAGACCCCAACCCCGGGAUCUCAUCGAUUCCCACGGUCCCUGACAGCAGCACCCCUGUCACCAUCCCAGGAACCCCAUAGCCCACCUGAGGGCCCUCCUCAACCCCAUCCCCAUCAUGCUCUUGUACAGCCAUAGGGUGCUGGGGCAGGGGUGGCUGCUGCAGGAGAGGAAUGCGGGGCUGGAGCAGGUGCAGGGCACAGCUGUGGGUGAAAGGGAUGUGAGGGGCACUGUGGGUCCAGGAACGUAGGGGUUGUGGGGGCACGUGGGGAGCGGUUUGGGGUGAGAAUGGAGGAUGUGCGGUGGUGUUGGAGUGCACUGGUUGAUUUCUUCCUGGGAGGGGAUUGGGGUUCCCUUUGGCCCAAAGGUGGAGCCCUGAUCCAUAACCCCACGUGAGCCCAGAGCCCAUAUAACUCUGCAUGAGCCCAAGGCUCCACAUGACCCAUAACCGUGUGAGCACCGUAAGCCCAUAUGAGGCUGAGGGCAGUGAUGGGUCUGUUACUGGCUAGGUCAGGAAGUACUCUAGGGUGGCUCUGGGGCCGCUGUAGAAUAGCGCUCUGUAUCUGCCCCUGACCCUCAUCUUGGGGGGUAAGAUGGGGGUGCAGGGGUUAGUGGAGGGCUAAGGAAGAGAUUCCAUGAGUAUGAACCAUAGCAGCCCCAGAGCCAUCCUAGAGCAGCGCCAUCACUGCCCACGGCCCAUGGCCAGCAGCAGUUCCACCACAAGCUGUGUGUUGGGUCAAGGCAGCUCCUAGGUGUUGCUCUGCUUCAUAGCUGCCCCAAAGUGCCCCUGUAGCCCUCCCAUAGGUGUCCUUUAACUGCCCCACCACCCCGUAAGGCUUCCCCACGUCCUAGCACAUCCCCCCACGUGCGUGCAGGGUGUGCAAGAAACGCUCUCAUCCCUGAUAUUCCAUCAGGCACAGCUCUUCGUGCAGCAGCAAAGCUCCUUCCUGAUUGCUGUGGCGUUACUUCACUCUCCUCAGUGAGUUCCUUCUGCUCCCGUUGGGUUGGUUGAGUUGGGUUUGUUGGGAUGAGGUGGGGGCAGGGAUCCCAGAGUUCUGGGGCCACAUGGCAUCGGGUCGCAGCGUGUUGGGGGCAGGAAGGGUCAGGGAGUCACAGGGUCUUGUGGGGGUGUGGUUCACCCAGGGCUGUGGGUCACGUAUAGCCAUGGGGUCAUGCACAUACAGGGUGAUGAGAUCAUCUUGGCUUAAGGCUCAUGUGGGGUUACGGCUCAGGGCCCCACCUUUGGGCUGCAUGGACCCCCAGUCCCCUCUCAGGAAGAAAUGAAACCCCUCCUACACCGCUGCCCCCUUCCCCCCUUUUUUUUUUUUACCUCAAACUGCUCCCCACAUCCUCCCAUAGCACCCCAUACUCCCGCGUCCCUCUUGCAGCCCACAUCUUGUCUUCUCCUGAACAGCAUUCUGCUCCUGCAGGCUGUGUUGUCAUAUCCAUUCUAUAUCCCCCACAACCUCUCCCACAGACCCACAUAGCUCCUCAAGUACUUUCUCUGACCGGGUACACCUCCCCCACCGCCAACCUGGGACCUCGCAGAGCCCCACAGUCCCCAGCAGCACCCCACGUCCCCCACGGUUCUUCAAGGAUCCCUCCGAUUUGAGGGAGGCUCAGACCUCCCUUUAUGCCUCAGACCCCUCCUGUGUUCUCCGACUCCCACAGUCCCUGACAGGACCCCCAUCACCAUCCCAGGACCCCCAUAGCCCACUGAUGAGGAACCUCGCAGCAAUCCACAUCUCAGGAUGGGCCUCCAGCUGUGCCCCAAUGCCUGCAUUAAAGAGAGGAGAAUGAAUGAGCGUAACGGGGCACCUUUCCUCCUGACAUUACCAACUGCCUGCGUGUUGGCUGUGCCACGUGAGCGGCAUUUUGUCCUCGAGCUGUGAGUGCAGAAAUUCCCAUGAUUAUUUCCAACUCAUUUCCAGGCUGAUGGCUGCUGGUCCUGAAGAACCACAGAAUCACUAAGGUUGGAAAGACUGCUAAGAUCAUCACAUCCAACCCCAGCCUACCCCACCAUGCUC
ensembl:lncRNA